rnacentral:rRNA from 1 species
CGGACGGGUGGGUAAUGUCUGGGAAACGGCCCGAUGAGGGGGAGUAACUACUGGAAACGGUAGCUAAUACCGCAUAACGUCGCAAGACCAAAGAGGGGGACCUUCGGGCCUCUUGCCAUCGGAUGUGCCCAGAUGGGAUUAGCUAGUAGGUGGGGUAACGGCUCACCUAGGCGACGAUCCCUAGCUGGUCUGAGAGGAUGACCAGCCACACUGGAACUGAGACACGGUCCAG